CGCUCAACUACCGCCGCUCUCCGCCUUGGUUCAUUGCACCGGCGGCUGUCGCCGGUGCCGGUGUCAGCGUAAGGCCCUAAUUCCUACCUCAAUUUAAUCACUGAGUCAUACUGAACACAUAAAUUGAGGUGAAUCGGAGAGACGCUCCUUGCACUGGCCAAAUCGCGCCUCUAAAGGGAAGAACCCUAAAGGUUAUGAACUAAAUUAAACGGCGUAUGCUACGAAUCAAACAUCACAACCAUGGGGAUUUCACUCCUUAUUCCAAACACUACCUAUUGGUGAACACAAAUCAAGAAAAUGUGAUUGAAACUGAUAUUACAUACCGGAGAAGACGAUCAGAAUAAUUCGCCGGCGAGUUUUCUGACCUUGAUUUCUUCUUCUUCUCCUUGCUUCGUCUCCUUUUCUUUCUCUGGCUUAGAACAACGGAAAUGAAGAACAGUGUGGCUUAGCUCAAAGAAAAUUGAAGCUUCAAUGGCUUUUGUGAGAGAAUGGGAGAGCUUUGGUGAGGGUGAGGGAAAAAGUUGAAGAGAUAAUUCACACCAAUUCAACAGGGUUCCAAGGGUUCUAAAAAUGAGAGUGAUGCAUUGUUUAAAUAGGUUUUAGGUUUGGGAAUUUGGUAGCUUCUGACUCAGGUUUGGAGUUAGUUAGUGUUGGCUUGAAAUUGGUUAGAAUGAACUCACUGAGUUAACUCCAAACUCAGUUAGUUAGAGAGUUAGUUAAUGAAUCCAAAUUAGUUGGUUAGCUCAUUGAGUGUUAAAUCCAAUUAUGCUUCUGACUGUCUAUUGCAGGUUACAUUAUGAUUGGGGUUGGCCUUGCAACUUGGUUGGUGACUUGUAGAAUAGGUUCCCACUUGGUUAGUGAAUUGGAUUAGGCAAGUGUUAUUAGUUUGGCUGGUAUACAUUGCAAGCCCAUACAGGACUUGUAUACAGUUUGGUGUAAUGUCAUGACCAGUAUACAUUGUUGCAACACAAGCAAAUUCAUUGCAAGUCCACUGUGUUGGUUUGUGAAAUUGUGUCUGGCAUUGCUUAAUGACAGGUUUUGGUGGCUUGAUGCAAGCUUCACAUUAUUGCAGGAAGGUUCUACAAUUGGGUUUAUGUGAUUACUGCCUUGUAUAUAUUCGUGUUGACCAUGUUUUGAACCACAAUAUGCAUUGUAGAAUUGUUUAUGUAUUUCUAUUCUGACUUAUAGAGUGGCUGCAGAUUUUUGUUUGCUUUGAAUUGAUGUUUGUUGAGAAAUGAAUUAUGGUUUGUAGAAUCGAUUGCUUUGCUUACCUUGGCCUCAUUGGCUUUGUUGCAGCAUACUUGAAUGGCCUUUGAGUUGCAUUAACCAAGUUAGGAUGAUCUUGGUUUGCCUCAUGUCUGAUGUUGUGCAUAGCUAGUUCCACUCAUGGGUUGACAUGCUUCAUGUUGUAGGACUGCCUUGUUUGGCUUGUGGUUUGCUAUGUCAAGACUUGUGCACCUGUAGCACGAUGAAGCUAGCUUCAGCUCUGGCUUUGCAACAUGGACCAUGUUAAGUAGUGUCAGGUCUGGUGUUGUGAACUGGUACAGGCCAAGAAGGACCAUUGUAGCAGGCUGGUUUUGGCUUUGGUCAAAGGACAACUGCAGAAGGUUUAUGGUUGGAUGCUUGGUUGAUUGUGUAAAGCUCAGGGUGAUUUAAUAGUUUGUGAUGUUGCUACUUUGACUAUUGUAGAAUGCAGGAUCAGUGUAUUACCAAUUGCACCUUGCUAUACCAGUUUGUAGGGUUUAUGGCCAAUGCAUUGGAUGCUCAACAUGGUAGCAAGUCUUGCAAACUCACUGCUUUGAUGUGGUCUCAUUUGGAUUAUUGCAGCAUGAUGUGGUGCUGCAAAGACUACAGGACAUUAAUGCUUUGAUGCCCAUUUUGGUAACAGGGUCCUUUACAAGUUCCUCAUGACCUUGUUCAGUUGCAACAGAGCAAGGUAGUGGUGUGCUGCAAGAUGUUGAAUGGCUUGCUGUAGUAGCAGGGCCAGAACUACUAUGCCAUGGAUUCUCAAGUAGUGAAAUCAUGCACUCCAUUGGAUUUUCCUGUGGUCUUUGGCUUGAACAAUGAAUGGUGGAUCACAAGGGAUGGCGUUGUGAUGUAUUAGAGCUCUUUGGAGUUGAUUUGGGGCAGACCAAGGACAAGGGUUAGUGAGUCAAAAUUUCAAAAUAAGCAUGGUAUACACAAUGUCAUUUACUUGGAAAUGAAGCAAUCGAGAGAAAGCACAACCAAGCAUGAAGAUUGGGUGACACAUCAAAGCAAAAGGCUAGGUCAAGUUUGGAUGGUCAAGAGCAAGUGAAAGUUGACUUUGGUCAAAGUUGACCAAAAAGUCAAUUGUUGACCAAAAAGUCAAUUGUUGACCAAAGUCAACAAAUGGUCAAAAUUGUAUUUUCUUUGUAAUUUAUUUGUAAAUGGACAUUGAAUCAAUGGUUAGGGUGAAAUUUAGGGUUUUUGGAUUUUGGGUGGACUUUUGUCAAAGUUGAUCAAAAAGUCAACUGUUGACCAAAGUCAACAAUUGGUCAAAAAUGCCAAGACUUGUACUUUUUUGUGUAGAAUCACAUGUGAUG